CAGCCGCCGCGGGAACACGUAGGUGGCGAGCGUUGUCCGGAUUUAUUGGGCGUAAAGCGAGCGCAGGCGGUCAAUUAAGUCUGAUGUGAAAGCCCCCGGCUCAACCGGGGAGGGUCAUUGGAGACUGGUUGACUUGAGUGCAGAAGAGGAGAGUGGAAUUCCACGUGCAGCGGUGAAAUGCGUAGAGAUGUGGAGGAACACCAGUGGCGAAGGCGACUCUCUGGUCUGUAGCUGACGCUGAGGAGCGAAAGCGUGGGGAGCGAACAGGAUUAGAUACCCGCGUAGUCCCUGUCUCUUAUAC
rnacentral:rRNA from 1 species